GAUAAACGCUGGCGGCGUGCAUGAGACAUGCGAGUCGAACGAAGGAUCGGGCUUGCUCGAUCCUUAGUGGCGGACGGCUGAGUAACGCGUAGGUGACCUACCCCGAAGUGGGGAAUAACUGCCCGAAAGGGUGGCUAAUACCGCAUGUGGUCGCACGUUCAUUCGUGCGAGUAAGGCCGCAAGGCGCUUCGGGAGGGGCCUGCGUCCGAUUAGCUCGUUGGUGGGGUAAUGGCUUACCAAGGCGACGAUCGGUAGGUGGUCUGAGAGGACGAUCACCCAGACUGGGACUGAGACACGGCCCAGACUCCUACGGGAGGCAGCAGUCGGGAAUUUUGCUCAAUGGGGGAAACCCUGAAGCAGCAACGCCGCGUGAGGGAUGAAGGCCUUCGGGUUGUAAACCUCUUUUGUCAGGGACGAUGAUGACGGUACCUGGCGAAUAAGCCACGGCUAACUACGUG
rnacentral:rRNA from 1 species